UACGUAGGGGGCAAGCGUUGUCCGGAAUCAUUGGGCGUAAAGCGCGUGUAGGCGGCCCGGUAAGUCCGCUGUAAAAGUCCAGGGCUCAACCCUGGAAAGCCGGUGGAUACUGUCGGGCUCGAGUCCGGAAGAGGCGAGUGGAAUUCCUGGUGUAGCGGUGAAAUGCGCAGAUAUCAGGAAGAACACCCGUGGCGAAGGCGGCUCUCUGGGACGGUACUGACGCUGAGACGCGAAAGCGUGGGGAGCGAACAGG
rnacentral:rRNA from 1 species